rnacentral:rRNA from 1 species
CCCAGACUCCUACGGGAGGCAGCAGUGGGGAAUCUUCCGCAAUGGGCGAAAGCCUGACGGAGCAACGCCGCGUGAUCGAAUGAAGGCCUUCGGGUUGUAAAGAUCUGUUGACAGGGACGAAUAAGCAAUGCGAAUAGUUUUGUGUAUGACGGUACCUGUUUAGAAAGCUCCGGCUAACUACGUGCCAGCAGCCGCGGUAAUACGUAGGGAGCAAGCGUUGUCCGGAAUUACUGGGCGUAAAGGGCGCGUAGGCGGGGAUGCAAGUUGGGUGUCAAAACUACCGGCUCAACCGAUAGUCGCACUCAAAACUGCAACUCUUGAGUGAAGUAGAGGCAGGUGGAAUUCCUAGUGUAGCGGUGAAAUGCGUAGAUAUUAGGAGGAACACCAGUGGCGAAGGCGGCCUGCUGGGCUUUUACUGACGCUGAGGCUCGAAAGUGUGGGGAGCAAACAGGAUUAGAUACCCGAGUA